UAACCGUUAAUGAUAUUUAUUCAUUCAAACACUGUAGUGGCCGUAGCAUUUUGUUUUAAAUUAUGCUUAGCAGGAAAAGCCAUUGGCUUUGUGGUUGUUCCAAACUUCUGAGUGAUGGUUUCUGCUGACAUAACGAUAAAUCCUUCAAAUCCGCCCGAACAUUUUUUAGUGAAGUCAAACAUUUCCUGCCUAUAAAGCCCCGUCUUGCUGAUGGAAAGAAGCCAGGGCAUGUGUCCGUGUUUACCUCACAGGCACCGGGUCGCAUGCUCCUUUCACGCUGAUGUCAGAUUGGCACGACACAUGGAUCACAUCACAGGGCAAAAACCUCCUAAGCAUUCCACCAGCGCAAGCGUGUUAAAGCUUGUAGAGGUGGAGCGGUCCACCUCAUCUGCUCUCUGCCAGAGCCAGUGUGUGUGAUAAAUGAGAGGAGGCCCGGUCUGCUUACUGAUGCACAGGAGAUACUAAACCAGCACCCCCCCCACCACCAGCCCUCCAUCCACCUCCUCUUCCUCCAUCUUUCAGCUUCAUCUAU